UACAGAGGUCUCAACCGUUGUUCGGAUUCAUUGGGCGUAAAGGGUGCGUAGGCGGUCGGGUAAGUCGGAUGUGAAAUCUCAGGGCUCAACCCUGAAACUGCAUUCGAUACUGCCUGGCUAGGGUACUGGAGAGGAGACUGGAAUUUUACGGUGUAGCAGUGAAAUGCGUAGAUAUCUGGAGGAACACCGGUGGCGAAGGCGACAUCCUGGACCGGUAUUGACGCUGAGGCGCGAAAGCCAGGGGGAGCAAAACGGG
rnacentral:rRNA from 1 species